UACNGANACAAGCAUGUCGAUGCGUGUCAAGCGGCAGCAGGGUUUUGGUCGGCGGCCAAGUGGCGAACGGGUGAGUAUGCAUCGGAACGUGCCCGGUAGCGGGGGAUAACUACGCGAAAGCGGAGCUAAUACCGCAUACGCCCUACGGGGAGAAAGCAGGGGAUCGCAAGACCUUGCCCUAUUGGAGCGGCCGAUAUCGGAUUAGCCUAGUUGGUGGGGUAACGGCUCACCAAGGCGACGAUCCGUAGCUGGUUUGAGAGGAUGACCAGCCACACUGGGACUGAGACACGGCCCAGACUCCUACGGGGAGGGCGCAGUGGGGAAUUUUGGACAAUGGGGGAAACCCUGAUCCAGCCAUCCCGCGUGUGCGAUGAAGGCCUUCGGGUUGUAAAGCACUUUUGGCAGGAAAGAAACGUCGCGGGUUAAUACCCCGCGGAACUGACGAUACCUGCAGAAUAAGCACCGGCUAACUACGUGCCAGCAGCCGCGGUAAUACGUAGGGUGCAAGCGUUAAUCGGAAUUACUGGGCGUAAAGCGUGCGCAGGCGGUUCGGAAAGAAAGAUGUGAAAUCCCAGAGCUUAACUUUGGAACUGCAUUUUUAACUACCUGAGCUAGAGUGUGUCAGAGGGAGGUGGAAUUCCGCGUGUAGCAGUGAAAUGCGUAGAUAUGCGGAGGAACACCGAUGGCGAAGGCAGACCUCCUGCGAUAGCUACUGAACGCUCGUGCACGAAAGCGUGGGAGAGCAAACAGGGAUUAGAUACCUCUGGUAGUCCACGCCCUAAACGAUGUCUAACUAGCUGUUGGGGCCUUCUGACAUUUGUAGCGCAGCUAACGCGUGAAGAUGACCGCCCUGGGGAGUACGGGUCGCAAGAUUAUUACUCUCAGCAUUGACGGGGGACCCGCACACGCGGCGGACGAUGUGGAUUAAUUUCGAUGCAUCGCGAAAAUCC
rnacentral:rRNA from 1 species